rnacentral:rRNA from 1 species
GAUGAACGCUGGCGGUAUGCUUAACACAUGCAAGUCGAACGGGGUGCAUAGUCGCCUAGUGGCGGACGGGUGAGUAACGCGUGAGAAUCUGGCCUCAGGUCCGGGACAACCACGGGAAACGGUGGCUAAUACCGGAUGUGCCAUAUUGGUGAAAGAUUAAUUGCCUGAGGAUGAGCUCGCGUCUGAUUAGCUAGUUGGUGGGGUAAAGGCUUACCAAGGCGACGAUCAGUAACUGGUCUGAGAGGAUGACCAGUCACACUGGGACUGAGACACGGCCCAGACUCCUACGGGAGGCAGCAGUGGGGAAUUUUCCGCAAUGGGCGAAAGCCUGACGGAGCAAUACCGCGUGAGGGAGGAAGGCUCUUGGGUUGUAAACCUCUUUUCUCAGGGAAGAAGAAUGACGGUACCUGAGGAAUCAGCAUCGGCUAACUCCGUG